AGAAACCGAAAAUUGUAUUACAUAUCAAUGAGUCAAUUCUAUUAGGAACCAAAAAAUGUAUUUUGGAUUAGGGGACCUAAUUGAACAUGAGAGACAAGAGUGGAACUCCUUAAGGAUAUAUUCUUACCCUAUGACAGCAACAUAAUUCUUCAAAUUAGUUUAAACUCUUAAGACAAAGAUGAUAGUCUUAUGUGGAUGCCUAAGAAUGGAAAAUUAUAUGGUUAAAUAUGGAUUCCAU
rnacentral:lncRNA from 1 species